ensembl:lncRNA
AGCAAUAAGGUUAAUUAUAUCAAUCGUGGCACUCACAGUCUGUGCAGAUUUUCUUUGAGAAAAAAGGAAAUGCCAAUUUGCCAGAAGGUGCAAAUUGUUCAUGUAUGGCAUGCCUCUUAUGCUGUGUAUAAAAGCCAGGGCAGAAGGCGACACAACUGCAAACUGACCCGGCAAUCACAGCCACUGCAAACAUGUUGACAGUAUUGGCUCUGAUGACACUUCUGAUGGUCUCGGUUGAGUCGGACCUCUCAAAUGAAGAGUGGAAGUCUCUGAGUAACCCACAGAGCAGGACCCUGUUUUUCCGAAUCCUGCAGUCAUAUCUUGAAGACAGAGAGAGUGAAGUUCAAGCGAUGAACAGGAAAACAAACAUGAAGGAAAACAAAAACAGCAAUAUAGAAAAUACUGGUUAUGACAAGUACGAGCUCUAUCGUCACAAUGACAUUUAUGAUGUUUAAUUGAGGAUUUCAUUUUUAACAUGCAAAUCAGGUAUUAGGUCUAAUAGUUUGAGAAAUGUUCAAGUCAUUAUGUCUGCAAUGAUGUUUUGCAUAGUAAAAUUGAAACACUUGCUGGACAAAUUUCUGCCUGUUUUUCUUUAUAUAUUUCUCAUUUAUAGUAAGUAAAUGAUUCAUAAUAGUUUUUUGUUAUUAAUGUUUAACAAAGUGAAAAACUAGAGUUGAUCCAAGCAAAGCAUGUCAAGGAAGAAAUAUACGGGUCACUUCAAAUUAUCAUUCCUCUAUUGUUUAAAUAUUUCU